GACGGAGGGCGCAAGCGUUUGUUCGGAAUUACUGGGCGUAAAGCGCGGGCAGGUGGCCCGUUAAGUCUGCGGUGAAAUCCCGGGGCUCAACUCCGGAUAUGCCGCGGAUACUGGCGGGCUAGAGACUGGUAGAGGCGAGUGGAAUUCCAGGUGUAGCGGUGGAAUGCGUAGAUAUCAUUUGGAACGCCAAUGGUGAAAACAGGUAGCUGGGAGUGUGCUGACGCUGAGACACGAAA
rnacentral:rRNA from 1 species